UACGUAGGGUGCAAGCGUUGCCCGGAUUUAUUGGGCGUAAAGGGUGCGUAGGCGGCGCGGUAAGUCGGGUGUGAAAUCUCGGGGCUUAACUCCGAAACUGCAUUCGAUACUGCCGUGCUUGAGGACUGGAGAGGAGACUGGAAUUUACGGUGUAGCGGUGAAAUGCGUAGAUAUCGUAAGGAAGACCAGUGGCGAAGGCGGGUCUCUGGACAGUUCCUGACGCUGAGGCACGAAGGCCAGGGGAGCAAACGGG
rnacentral:rRNA from 1 species